UUAAGCGACUAAGCGUACACGGUGGAUGCCCUGGCAGUCAGAGGCGAUGAAGGACGUGCUAAUCUGCGAAAAGCGUCGGUAAGGUGAUAUGAACCGUUAUAACCGGCGAUGUCCGAAUGGGGAAACCCAGUGCAAUUCGUUGCACUAUCGUUAACUGAAUACAUAGGUUAACGAGGCGAACCGGGGGAACUGAAACAUCUAAGUACCCCGAGGAAAAGAAAUCAACCGAGAUUCCCCCAGUAGCGGCGAGCGAACGGGGAGCAGCCCAGAGUCUGAAUCAGCUUGUGUGUUAGUGGAACGGUCUGGAAAGUCCGACGGUACAGGGUGAUAGUCCCGUACACCAAAAUGCACAGGUUGUGAACUCGAAGAGUAGGGCGGGACACGUGGUAUCCUGUCUGAAUAUGGGGGGACCAUCCUCCAAGGCUAAAUACUCCUGACUGACCGAUAGUGAACCAGUACCGUGAGGGAAAGGCGAAAAGAACCCCGGCGAGGGGAGUGAAAAAGAACCUGAAACCGUGUACGUACAAGCAGUGGGAGCACCUUCGGGUGUGACUGCGUACCUUUUGUAUAAUGGGUCAGCGACUUAUAUUCUGUAGCAAGGUUAACCGUAUAGGGGAGCCGCAGGGAAACCGAGUCUUAACUGGGCGUUAAGUUGCAGGGUAUAGACCCGAAACCCGGUGAUCUAGCCAUGGGCAGGUUGAAGGUUGGGUAACACUAACUGGAGGACCGAACCGACUAAUGUUGAAAAAUUAGCGGAUGACUUGUGGCUGGGGGUGAAAGGCCAAUCAAACCGGGAGAUAGCUGGUUCUCCCCGAAAGCUAUUUAGGUAGCGCCUCGUGAAUUCAUCUUCGGGGGUAGAGCACUGUUUCGGCUAGGGGGUCAUCCCGACUUACCAACCCGAUGCAAACUACGAAUACCGAAGAAUGUUAUCACGGGAGACACACGGCGGGUGCUAACGUCCGUCGUGAAGAGGGAAACAACCCAGACCGCCAGCUAAGGUCCCAAAGUCAUGGUUAAGUGGGAAACGAUGUGGGAAGGCACAGACAGCCAGGAUGUUGGCUUAGAAGCAGCCAUCAUUUAAAGAAAGCGUAAUAGCUCACUGGUCGAGUCGGCCUGCGCGGAAGAUGUAACGGGGCUAAACCAUGCACCGAAGCUGCGGCAGCGACACUAUGUGUUGUUGGGUAGGGGAGCGUUCUGUAAGCCUGCGAAGGUGACCUGUGAGGGUUGCUGGAGGUAUCAGAAGUGCGAAUGCUGACAUAAGUAACGAUAAAGCGGGUGAAAAGCCCGCUCGCCGGAAGACCAAGGGUUCCUGUCCAACGUUAAUCGGGGCAGGGUGAGUCGACCCCUAAGGCGAGGCCGAAAGGCGUAGUCGAUGGGAAACAGGUUAAUAUUCCUGUACUUGGUGUUACUGCGAAGGGGGGACGGAGAAGGCUAUGUUAGCCGGGCGACGGUUGUCCCGGUUUAAGCAUGUAGGCUGGUUGUCCAGGCAAAUCCGGAUAAUCAAGGCUGAGGUGUGAUGACGAGGCACUACGGUGCUGAAGUAACAAAUGCCCUGCUUCCAGGAAAAGCCUCUAAGCAUCAGGUAACAUCAAAUCGUACCCCAAACCGACACAGGUGGUCAGGUAGAGAAUACCAAGGCGCUUGAGAGAACUCGGGUGAAGGAACUAGGCAAAAUGGUGCCGUAACUUCGGGAGAAGGCACGCUGGUGUGUAGGUGAAGCCCCUGCGGGUGGAGCUGAGACCAGUCGAAGAUACCAGCUGGCUGCAACUGUUUAUUAAAAACACAGCACUGUGCAAACACGAAAGUGGACGUAUACGGUGUGACGCCUGCCCGGUGCCGGAAGGUUAAUUGAUGGGGUUAUCCGUAAGGAGAAGCUCUUGAUCGAAGCCCCGGUAAACGGCGGCCGUAACUAUAACGGUCCUAAGGUAGCGAAAUUCCUUGUCGGGUAAGUUCCGACCUGCACGAAUGGCGUAAUGAUGGCCAGGCUGUCUCCACCCGAGACUCAGUGAAAUUGAACUCGCUGUGAAGAUGCAGUGUACCCGCGGCAAGACGGAAAGACCCCGUGAACCUUUACUAUAGCUUGACACUGAACAUUGAGCCUUGAUGUGUAGGAUAGGUGGGAGGCUUUGAAGCGUGGACGCCAGUCUGCGUGGAGCCAACCUUGAAAUACCACCCUUUAAUGUUUGAUGUUCUAACGUUGGCCCCUGACCGGGGUUGCGGACAGUGUCUGGUGGGUAGUUUGACUGGGGCGGUCUCCUCCCAAAGCGUAACGGAGGAGCACGAAGGUUAGCUAAUCCUGGUCGGACAUCAGGAGGUUAGUGCAAUGGCAUAAGCUAGCUUGACUGCGAGCGUGACGGCGCGAGCAGGUGCGAAAGCAGGUCAUAGUGAUCCGGUGGUUCUGAAUGGAAGGGCCAUCGCUCAACGGAUAAAAGGUACUCCGGGGAUAACAGGCUGAUACCGCCCAAGAGUUCAUAUCGACGGCGGUGUUUGGCACCUCGAUGUCGGCUCAUCACAUCCUGGGGCUGAAGUAGGUCCCAAGGGUAUGGCUGUUCGCCAUUUAAAGUGGUACGCGAGCUGGGUUUAGAACGUCGUGAGACAGUUCGGUCCCUAUCUGCCGUGGGCGCUGGAGAAUUGAGGGGGGCUGCUCCUAGUACGAGAGGACCGGAGUGGACGCAUCACUGGUGUUCGGGUUGUCAUGCCAAUGGCACUGCCCGGUAGCUAAAUGCGGAAGAGAUAAGUGCUGAAAGCAUCUAAGCACGAAACUUGCCCCGAGAUGAGUUCUCCCUGAGACUUUAAGUCUCCUGAAGGAACGUUAAAGACGAUGACGUUGAUAGGCCGGGUGUGUAAGCGCAGCGAUGCGUUGAGCUAACCGGUACUAAUGAACCGUGAGGCUUAACCUU
rnacentral:rRNA from 1 species